GAACUUAAGCAUAUCAAUAAGCGGAGGAAAAGAAACUAACAAGGAUUCCCCUAGUAACGGCGAGUGAAGAGGGAAGAGCUCAAAUUUUAAAUCUGGCGUCUUUGGCGUCCGAAUUGUAAUCUAGAGAAGUGUUUUCCGUGACGGACCGUGCAUAAGUCUCCUGGAAUGGAGUGUCAUAGAGGGUGAGAAUCCCGUAUAUGGCACGGACUCCCGUUGCUCUGUGAUACACUCUCGACGAGUCGAGUUGUUUGGGAAUGCAGCUCUAAAUGGGUGGUAAAUGCCAUCUAAAGCUAAAUAUUGGCGAGAGACCGAUAGCGAACAAGUACCGUGAGGGAAAGAUGAAAAGCACUUUGGAAAGAGAGUGAAACAGUACGUGAAAUUGUUGAAAGGGAAACGCUUGAAGUCAGUCGCGCCGUUCGGGAUUCAGCCUUGCUUCUGCUCGGUUUACUUCCCGUUGGGUGGGUCAACAUCAGUUUCGGUCGGAGGAGAAAGACUUGGGGAAGGUGGCAGCAUUCGUGCUGUGUUAUAGCCCCGUGUUGUAUACUUCGACUGGGACUGAGGACCGCAGCACGCCUCUGGCCGGGGUUCGCCCACGUACGUGCUUAGGAUGUUGGCAUAAUGGCUUUAAGCGACCCGUCUUGAAACACGGACCAAGGAGUCUAACAUGUGCGCGAGUGUUUGGGUGUUAAACUCGGACGCGAAAUGAAAGUGAAAAGUUGGGAACACAUCUGUGUGCACCGACGCCCGGAGCUGACCUUCUGUGACGCAUCUGCGGUAGAGCGUAUAUGUUGGGACCCGAAA
rnacentral:rRNA from 1 species